GGCACUGUGGCGGAGUGGUUAACGCGACAGAUUAGAAUCAGUUGAGUACAUUACCCAGGUGAUUAGCCAUCCAGCUAUCUGUUCCGGUUUCCGGGCGCAUGUUCGAAUCAUGCCAGUGUCG